rnacentral:tRNA from 1 species
GGGAGCGUAGUCUAGUCUGGUCCAGGAUUCAGCGUUCGGGACGCUGCGACCCCGGUUCAAAUCCGGGCGCUCCCA